UACAGUUCUUGGCCUUUUGGCUAAGAUCAAGUGUAGUAUCUGUUCUUACCUGGCAGGGGAGAGUCGGUGAUCACUGUUGCUGAUCUCCUGCGAUGGGAAUCAUGGAGGCAGAUCUACGUGGGCAGAUUCAUGGGUGAUCUCUGUGAAUACAAAUUUUGAAGAAGAAGAAAGACAACAGGGACUCUCA